rnacentral:rRNA from 1 species
UGUGACGGCGUGCCUUUUGCAUAAUGAACCUACGAGUUACUUUUUCCGGCAAGGUUAAGCAUCUUGAGAUGUGGAUCCGAAGCGAAAGCGAGUCUGAACAGGGCGGAUAGUCGGAAGGAGUAGACGCGAAACCAAGUGAUCUACCCUUGGGCAGGUUGAAGGUUAGGUAACACUAACUGGAGGACCGAACCGAUAAGCGUUGAAAAGCUUCCGGAUGACCUGAGGGUGGGGGUGAAAGGCUAAUCAAACUUGGAGAUAGCUCGUACUCCCCGAAAUGCAUUUAGGUGCAGCCUUGAGAGUUACUAAUGUGAGGUAGAGCGACUGAUAAGAUGCGAGGGCUUCACCGCCUAUCAAGUCUUGAUAAACUCCGAAUGCGCAUUAGUUCUAUCUCAGGAGUGAGGGCAUGGGUGCUAAGGUCCAUGUCCUAAAGGAGAAGAAUCCAGACCAUCAGCUAAGGUCCCCAAAUAAACACUAAGUUGAACUAACGAAGUCAGAUUGCUAAGACAGCUAGGAUGUUGGCUUGGAAGCAGCCAUUCAUUUAAAGAGUGCGUAACAGCUCACUAGUCGAGGAGUUUGGCGUGGAUAAUAAUCGGGCAUAAGUGUUUUACCGAAGCUAUGGGAUACGUAAGUAUCGGUAGGGGAGCAUUCCACUCAGCGUUGAAGGCUAAGCGUGAGCUUUACUGGAGCGUGUGGAAAAGCAAAUGUAGGUAUAAGUAACGAUAAAGGGGGUGAGAAACCCCCUCGCCGCAAGACUAAGGUUUCCUGAUCAACGCUAAUCGGAUCAGGGUUAGUCGGGUCCUAAGGCUCAGCCGAACGGUGAGGCCGAUGGCAGAACAGGUUAAUAUUCCUGUACUACCUGUA